rnacentral:rRNA from 1 species
UACGGGAGGCAGCAGUGAGGAAUAUUGGACAAUGGUGAGAGCCUGAUCCAGCCAUCCCGCGUGAAGGACGACUGCCCUAUGGGUUGUAAACUUCUUUUAUACUGGGAUAAACCUACUUACGUGUAAGUAGCUGAAGGUACAGUAUGAAUAAGCACCGGCUAACUCCGUGCCAGCAGCCGCGGUAAUACGGAGGGUGCAAGCGUUAUCCGGAUUUAUUGGGUUUAAAGGGUCCGUAGGCGGACUCGUAAGUCAGUGGUGAAAUCUCAUAGCUUAACUAUGAAACUGCCAUUGAUACUGCGGGUCUUGAGUAAAGUAGAAGUGGCUGGAAUAAGUAGUGUAGCGGUGAAAUGCAUAGAUAUUACUUAGAACACCAAUUGCGAAGGCAGGUCACUAUGUUUUAACUGACGCUGAUGGACGAAAGCGUGGGGAGCGAACAGGAUUAGAUACCCUGGUAGUCCACGCCGUAAACGAUGCUAACUCGUUUUUGGGUUUUCGGAUUCAGAGACUAAGCGAAAGUGAUAAGUUAGCCACCUGGGGAGUACGUUCGCAAGAAUGAAACUCAAAGGAAUUGACGGGGGCCCGCACAAGCGGUGGAUUAUGUGGUUUAAUUCGAUGAUACGCGAGGAACCUUACCAAGGCUUAAAUGGGAAUUGACAGGUUUAGAAAUAGACUUUCCUUCGGGCAAUUUUCAAGGUGCUGCAUGGUUGUCGUCAGCUCGUGCCGUGAGGUGUUAGGUUAAGUCCUGCAACGAGCGCAACCCCUGUCACUAGUUGCCAUCAUUCAGUUGGGGACUCUAGUGAGACUGCCUACGCAAGUAGAGAGGAAGGUGGGGAUGACGUCAAAUCAUCACGGCCCUUACGCCUUGGGCCACACACGUAAUACAAUGGCCGGUACAGAGGGCAGCUACUAUGCGAAUAGAUGCGAAUCUCGAAAGCCGGUCUCAGUUCGGAUUGGAGUCUGCAACUCGACUCUAUGAAGCUGGAAUCGCUAGUAAUCGCGCAUCAGCCAUGGCGCGGUGAAUACGUUCCCGGGCCUUGUACACACCGCCCGUCAAGCCAUGGAAGUCUGGGGUACCUGAAGUCGGUGACCGUAACAGGAGCUGCCUAGG